CUACCGGAUUCAUUUGAAUCCACACAAGUAUAGUUUUUGCGUAAUGU
rfam:Picea glauca, whole genome shotgun sequence.